AUUGAAUGUCUGAAAUGGCGCAAUAUUGGGUUUACCAGUAAUGUUGUCUUAAUUGUAGGGUUAAGGUAAUGCAAGACUGGUUAUUAGACCUUGGCAAGGCAUCGGUAAAGUAAGUUAACUUAGUCCAAUUGGACACGGUGCCGUGAUGUACCUCCUCACCACACGGCCAAUUUAACAUGCCACAUUUUGAACUGGCUACUGUGCCCUUGCAACAAACGUCAGGAUUUCCUCAUUUAAAACUACAUGCGAAUAAACAAACUCAUGUUUCCCAGUUUAUCCAAUGGAACGCUGGGCUUCCAGCUUUCUCCUAUUUCAGCAAAUGUGUGUAAUGCUAAUAUGAACCUUAGCAGCUAUCUUGCUAGGUAACAGUAACUGGGCUAACAAUUUAAAGCAAAACCAUAAGUAGCUAAAAAUGUUCAAUGUGUAUUUGCUAAAAGAGGGAGAGAGAGCUAUGAGUGCUUAAUUAGAACUAGUGUAAGUUUCAAUUAGGUCGGGAAUAGCUGUAGACUUUGGCAUCUAAACUAACUGAGAGGUUAAGGAUACAUCUGUAAUUUGUAUCUGCGCAAAUAAUCUGUGCACUUCUGUUCAUGUGUAUAACUGGACAUGUAACUAAGUUUGCAGACAUUGUGCUAUAGGCCUGUCACUGCUGCACUUAAUGUUUCUAUUAAAUAUUCAUAUAGUUGAGGAAAAUGGAUUUUACUUAUUUGUAGUUGGUCACAUUAAUUUGAUCACUCUUAGCCCAUUUAUACACUUUAUCUGAUCAUUAAAAUAUAAUAAUUUCUCAUGAAUUAUUCUUAUUAGUCAGACAUUGUGUGUGUGCAAGUCAAGCUGUUUACAAUUUUAAUAAAUUUGAUGCUGUUCUUGAAUGCACCAGCUUAUUAAUGUGUAUAUACUGUUUUGUCCUCAUACAAUGUAAUUAUAACGGUUAUUAUACCACUGGUUUUGACUCAGUCUGACUGUGACUUUUUCUUCUUUAAGACAUGAAGCCAAUUGAAAGCUGUGUCAAGCGUAAGAGACAGAAUCAAGAUGAAAGAAGCGAAAGUACACAACAGAAGGAGAGAAGCAGGAGAGGCUUUGAGGCACAAGAAAGGCCCAGGGAAGCGCUGUGGACCAGAUUGCUCAGACAGCCUCAUCAAAAAUCUUGCAGAGAUUUUAGGAUCUCGAGAUCCUUGGAGCCUUCUCUGUCCUGAGGCCACAGGAACCAAUGUUGAAUGAUGGUGCCAAGAUUGCUCACCUGCAGACCCACACCAGGAAAUUCCUCCCUGGACAGGAUGCCACAGUUGUCUAAGAGUGAAUGUCGUUAAAGAAACUUGUCCUCAGGAGCAUUCAAGCCAAGGAGCAAUGUUGGAAAAGCUGGCUAGUGAAUAUGAUGAGUGGGCAGACAUCUACCCUUGCCCGACCCAACUGGCUGCUGCGGCCCUGAUCAUCCCAGUGUCUAAUCUAAAUUCUGAACGAGACUUCUCGGCAAUGAACAGGAUCAAAACUGACCUGAGAAACAGACUUCAAGGAGAGCACCUUGCUGCAUGCUUGAGGAUUAGUAUAAAUGGAUCUGCCCCUGAAUCCUUUCCAUACAGAAAGGCCUGAGAGAAUUAUUUUUUAUUUUUUUCCAACGCAAAGGGAGAUCCAUUGCUCAGACAGAAAUUGUCAACUUUGUAAAUAGCUAACUGGAAAUGACAUUGUUGCGUAUGUGUAAUAAAUGAGCAUAGUUCAUAAACCUUUGUUUGACUAGAUUAUUUUGAAUGCGCUUACAGUGAGCUCGUUUGAUAUGUGUCUCACGUCCUAGACGCACAAAAAUGAUCAGGGACGCAAAAAGGAUGGUGAAUCUGCGUCCAUUAACGUACAACAUUGCUUACCUACAUAUGUGUGCAAGGUUCAAAUUAAGCGGUCUCAUAUCGCAGU